AGGUCCAGCCGGAACAGUUCAAUGCCCUGGUACAGCAAGUCCAGGCCCUGGCCGCCGCCGUCCAAGGCUUACGGCGCGAGGAGGCUUUACCAACGCUUCCCCCGCAGGCCCAGGUCCUGCCGGAAUUUCCUCCCAACGGCCCGGUUCUCCCAGGCCAGAAUUUGCAUGGCUCCUCCAGAGCCAACAACGAAGAGCGGACUUCCCCCCAGAGAGAGCUAUCGGGGGAAGAUUUCAACAGAAGACCC
rnacentral:lncRNA from 1 species